AGGGUAUUAUUUUAAUGGUAAAGAAUAGUGUUACGGCCACUAAGAUAUAAGUUCGAUUCUUAUAUGCCUUU
rnacentral:tRNA from 1 species